UACGUAGGGUGCAAGCGUUGUCCGGAAUUAUUGGGCGUAAAGAGCUCGUAGGCGGUCUGUCGCGUCUGCUGUGAAAACUCAGGGCUUAACCCUGAGCUUGCAGUGGGUACGGGCAGACUAGAGUGCGGUAGGGGAGACUGGAAUUCCUGGUGUAGCGGUGAAAUGCGCAGAUAUCAGGAGGAACACCGGUGGCGAAGGCGGGUCUCUGGGCCGUAACUGGACGCUGGAGGAGCGAAAGCGUGGGGAGCGAACAGG
rnacentral:rRNA from 1 species